UACGAAGGGGGCUAGCGUUGCUCGGAAUCACUGGGCGUAAAGGGUGCGCAGGCGGGCCUUUAAGUCAGGGGUGAAAUCCUGGAGCUCAACUCCAGAACUGCCUUUGAUACUGAAGAUCUUGAGUUCGGGAGAGGUGAGUGGAACUGCGAGUGUAGAGGUGAAAUUCGUAGAUAUUCGCAAGAACGCCAGUGCCGACGGCGGGGCACUGGCCCGAUACUGACGCUGAGGCACGAAAGCGUGGGGAGCAAAUAGG
rnacentral:rRNA from 1 species